GGAACAGCCUCUCAUGCCUACACACAAAAAAAACAACUGCAAGCUCUGGUUGAUGGAAAUAAACAGUCUUCUCAGCAUCUUCACCAGGAGUAGAUUCCAUCCCAAGAAAUCACUGUCAAGCUUCCCUGGUGGCUCAGUGGUGAAAAAAAAAAAAAAAAAAAUCCACUUGCCAAUGCACGAGACACGGAUUUGAUCGCUGAUUCCAGGAAGAUGCCACAUGCCUUGGAGCAGCUAAGCCCGUGUAUACUACAGCUGUUGAGCCUGUGCUCUAGAGCCUGGGAGCUGCAACUAGUGAGCCCACGUGUCACAACUACUGAAACCUUCACGUCCUGGAGCCCAGGCUGUGCAACAAGAGCAGCCGCUGCAAUGAGGAACCCGAGCACCACAGCUAGAGAAAGCCCUUGGGCAGCAAUGAAGACCCAGCACAGCCAAGAAUCAAAUACAUAAUGAAAUAAAAUUGUUUUAGAAAGAAAUCACUUUCUUCCCUCAUUCAUAAGAAGCAACUCUUCACCCACUAAAAUUUUAAAUUGAUGUUACAGCAAUUUAGUCGCAUUGUCAGGCUGCAUUUCUAAUUCUGCUUCUCUUGCAGUUUUCAUCACAUCUGCAAUUACUUCCUCCACGGAAGUCUUGAACUCCUCAAAGUCAUCCAUGACUGUUGGAAUCAACUUCGUCUAAACUCCUGUUAAUGC
ensembl:lncRNA